UACGAGGGGGGCGAGCGUUGUUCGGAAUUAUUGGGCGUAAAGGGUGCGUGGGCGGUUUGGUAAGUCUGAUGUGAAAUCUAUGGGCUCAACUCAUAGUCUGCAUCGGAAACUGCCGGGCUUGAGUGUGGGAGAGGUGAGUGGAAUUCCUGGUGUAGCGGUGAAAUGCGUAGAUAUCAGGAGGAAUACCGAUGGCGAAGGCAGGUCUCUGGGCUGACACUGACGCUCAUGCACGAAGACGUGGGGAGCAAACAGG
rnacentral:rRNA from 1 species